ensembl:lncRNA
CACUGUCCAGGACAACGUAUAAUUUAAAAUGUACUAAAGAAUGUAUACCACAUGGCAAAGUAAGUGAAGUGCUUCUUCAAAUAUAAGUGUUUUGCAUAGAAAGGCUGUAAUUAUCCACUCCUAGGGAAAUGUUUGCAUUCAUUCUAAAUCAAUAUUUACUAUUCAUCUCUUGUGUUCAACAAAACAAGGAUUUAACAUUUUUUUGUUUUAAUGAGGUACUAAAACUACAAUAAUGCUACAGUGUAAUUGUCUUGAUACAAAAUAUUGCUAAAUUGUGUUGCUAUUUCGGGAGCGAGCAGUUUUUAAAAGGAGGGGGUAUCCCUGUUUGUGCCAUGUUCCUGCAGUAACACAAUCCAAGCUCAGCCAAGCAGGGCGGCUCACCACUUCCAAAGCGGAGUUAAGCCGCCUCUCUGUUAAGGCCCUUAACUGGGAUCAUUCGGGUCUGAUUCAGUCAUAGCCUGAAACAAAUGUCAGCACCUUUACUGGAAAAUGUAGUAAACAGUGGAUUAGACAAACGAGAGGGCUGGAAAUGGGUCUGCUUCAAGUCUUACCGCAUACCUUGUGGAGUGAUGUCUGGAGAUGGUGGAGUUGUGUAUCCUCCGUUGAGACUGCCUUCAUGGCACAUUUGUUUCAAGGCAUGCAAUUGAGACGCUCGGAUACCGAUGUUCAGAGCCCUCUUCUCCUUGCUUACCUAAAUUUAGUUAAAGAGCCCUUGAGAUAAGUAGAAGUGCUGCAGCCACAGUCCUAGGGAGAAGUGUUCACCUGCUUGUUGAUUCACUGCCGGCUGUGUUCCCUGACUGCAAUCAGAGCACAUUUUCCCCUUCAGAAGUUUAGAAUCAAGGAGAAGGUAAACACAUGCCAAAUCUUGCAGUGAUGUUGGCCCGCUCCCAAAGUUGCAACAUAAUGAAGAAAACGUUCAGUUUAGAACUCUGUGCCCCUUUUUUACAACAUUCCUUAAGUUACUCAUGACAGAUGCAACUUUCCUGGCUCCAGAGGCUGAAACCAAGAUUCUGAGCUGUUAUCCUCAAGGAUAUUGCAUGAGCAAGCCCUCUCUACCAUGGCAUUACUGCUUCAUCCCAGGAAUAAUUCACCUGAUGCACCCUGAGACCUUGCUGCCUUUUUCACAGGGUAAUGUUAAUGGCUAAAAUGAUCAGAUGGGAUGUGACCUUCGGCUGCCCUGGGCAGAUUCUCCUGUGAGUCAGUGGUGGAUUUGGUUUCUACAGAGCUCAGCCACCUGCACCAGUCAAUGCUGGGGACUUCUCAAAGAAAUGGUUCCAAAUUCUCCCAGUGUUGAGUUAGCAUACUCCAAGAGGAACCCACCAGUUACAGAGGGCUUUGUAUUACUGGUCCAGGAGCAAUUUCAGUGUCAAAAUUGCCCCAGGAACUUUGGGAAUAGUUGGGCAAAAUGAUGGUCACAUCUGGCACCUCUCAUGAUGUUCCAGUUGUUUACUUAUUAGUGAGUGAGUAGCAUGUGGGGCUGCAGGAGCCCACAGGCAUCCACUUCCAAAUCCUCGGAGUUGCUGCAGUGCACAGCUCUUGCUCUUCUUUUAUUUUUUCUUUCCAAACAAGUUUUUUUAGCCUUUGACAUUUUAGGAGAAAUUUACAAAAGAAAAAGAAGAGAAAGAUAUAUUCUGAUUUCUGACAAAAUAAACUUCUGCAAGAAUUUAAGUAAGCAAUCAAAAACUAACUAUAGGUGUAAUAAGCAGAACUUUAUGUAUUUAUGCCCAUCAAAGAGGCAACAGCAGAGUAGUGUUGUCUAUCUAUGUGCAGAAAACAGUGGUUUUCUCAGCUUCAUCUCAUGAGUAUGCAGAUGUGGCUGUGGCUAAAGGAGAUGUGCUUGAAGCAGUAAUCAACCUUAUAAUUCCAAUGGUAAAAUUGCCAUGUGAAGGCAUGCAACUCCUCGAGGGCUACAUGACUCUCCAUACAGUCUUGGCACUAUGUGGGCACCAUUGGUACCCACGAUGCACCCCAGACCUUACCUACACUCUGCUCUGUGUCAGGACUCAUUUCAGGACUCAUUUUGAUCUCAUUUCAGAGGUGACUGUACUGUGGGACUGUACAGAGCCAUGCUGGAUCAGAAAUGGAAAACAGAACCAUAGCCAGCAACAGAUGGAUAGAAGAAUUUUGGCUGGAUGUUGCACAAAAAGGUCUACGUACUCUUAGGUUUGUGGUAGAAGAGUUCUCCAAGAUGCUAAUUUUAGGUACAGUUUGAUGUAGAACAUUUGUUCUUCAAUAUCGACGACCUUCUUCAAAAGCACACGUUAUUCCAGACCUUGGGUAUGACAUAAAGGGUUAAGCUGUCCUGUUGUAUGGAGAAGCCAGAGCCGCCUCACUGCUCUGUGAAAUCCAAGGAAAGCAGUGGCUCCCGAAAUGCCCUCCCUUGCCUCAACAGUUUGAAGGGAGAAAACACUUCAACUAUGGCUUUCCCAACAGCCUUUUCCUGGGAUGGAUAUUUUCUUCUACAGAAGAAACUUCUACAGAGAAAUUCUGAUACGGUCAACUAACUAGAGCAUCUGGUGUAUGCAGCUGGUCUAAGGAUUCAGCAAGAGGUGAGACCAGGAGCUGUUUAAUCACCACAAACAUGAAGACUAACCCAAGCAUGCUCUCCCUUCUCUGGAGGAAGUCAAGCAGCAGCACUGAGGCAUAAAUGUUCAAGUCCCUUCCAGACGUCUUGCCUGCUUCUGCCUUGAGUCACUAGAAAAACAAGGUGGUUUUGCUGGGUGGAGAUUUGUGUCAGAAUAACUUGCAGAACCGAGCCCUCAGUUUGCAAACGGCGUCGAACUUCAGUUCAUUAAAAGAAAUUUCAGAGGUGAGCUUCGUGAUGCUUUAAACAAUCACUGGAGGAAAAUAUUGGAGCUUUCCACCAAGGCCGUGAGCCAAGCCAGGUUCCAUCUGUGCACUCUCCUCUACUUGAGUGGUCACGUCCAUGUGCCAUUACUAAGGAUGUAUGGUGGAAUCAUGCCAAGCCUUCAACCUCACAUUUUGAACUUCUCAAUAAGAAAGACGGGGGGAUGGUUUUAAAAAGCAAAAGUCCAUGUUCUUAAGCAUCAUACUUGCUCUUGGUAUUACUGGCAACGGCUGCCCAGGAAUCACUGUCCCUGGAGGUAUUCCAGAACCACAGAGAUGUGACACUGAGGGACACAGUGAGUGGACAUGGUGGGAGUGGACUGCAGUUGGACUUGAUCCUAGAGGUACCUCUGAGAGACAAAGGUCAGGAAAUGGGCUCCUUGCCAGGCCACGGCCACGAUCCAGGUUUUCUGAGACUGAGUACAUUCAUCUGAGCUGUUAGCUGCUACGCUCCACCGCAUCCCUGUAUGAUCUGCCUAGGCUUGGUCCCCCAGAGGAAAUUUCUGCAUGCAUACUGUAUAUGAACUUUAGAUAAAUAAAUAAACACGAGAAACAGCUUCCAGAUAAUUGAAAGCGAGUGAAGGAGGGAGCAAAAAGAAAACAAUUUCUCAGGGGAGAAGCAAGCUGAGGUGGCAGGUGCAGCCUAAAUUCAGCCAAGGUAUUUUGGUUGUUCACUACCUUCGCGUAAUUAAAUAUUGAAGCACGCUGAGCUGUGGUAUCAACAUCUGUAUGGUACAAAUACCUUUUCAGCCCAGCUGGACUCAGCUGCAUUAUCUGUGACCUGAAAAGCACAUGCUCACCUUGGUUAAAUGGGGCUCGACUCAGCAAUAUUCAGCAGAGCUGCGGCGGUUCCUGGCUCCGGCCACCAAGGCUCCACAGGAUUUUCACUGCUCAGGUGUUGCAAAGCCUAAUCCUUAUUCAGGAACCAAAACGCUCCCCUCUCCUUGCCUGCGGUGCUUGGAUGCCUGCCUUUGGCAGUAGCCCCAGACUCCUGCAGAAGAUGAAGACAUCCCUCCAUGCCUAUAGAUGGAAAAGCGCCAACAUGGAUGCCAUCAGAAGGACGCAGCUGAGCAUAUGCUGAGAAAAUUGUGGCAUCCAUACUGUACAUGGGGAAGGGCUGACUGAACACACCAGUUUGUUGAAGCUUAUGGCCCUGAAAAGGAAACAUAGGUUUCCUGUAAAUGUCAUUCAGGGAUAUGCUAACUGUUAUUUCCUGGCACUGGAUCAUGAUGCUUUCAACACAUUCUGUUCCUCUACCUCUGCUGCUACCUCUGCUGCCUGCCUGCCUGGUUGUGCGCAGUGAUAGCUCUCCUGUCUUCUCACCUUUCCUCCUCCCCGCGCCAGGCAAAGGUAUUCUGGUUGGGAGGGCCAAUGUCAGCGAGCGAGAUGACAGACGGAGAGAUGAAAUCUCAGCCCUGCACUCAGCCUGGCUGCUGCCUGUACCUGGGCCUUGCUGCACCAUCCCUUGAACGCAAAGCAAUUCAAGGAAAAGAGUAACUUCUGUUACAUUAGAAAUCACGCAUUUCUGACCCAGAAAGAGAGGAAUUUCACAGUCUCUCAGGACAUGUGCUUGAAGGGAGGAUUUCUGGAGCCUAAACCAGAGGAGCCCAGGAGCUGCUGGUGUGAAGGCUCACCGCAAGCACCUGCUGCUUCUGGAGGAGUUCCUGUGGCAAUGCAUGUGCUCAGGAUGAAUAGGAAUCCAAGUUAACAGAAGGAAGAAACAACUCUUUUGUAGUAAUGCUCUGUAGGGCAUUAUCACAGCUAAUCUUAUGGUGGUAUGUUUUAGUCCAAAAAUGUUACUGCUCAGGUCCAUGCUACACCAUUUGUCAGUUGUUUACACCCUACAUAUGGAUUAGCACUGUAUGCCAGCCAUGAAAACCUGUUCUGCUCUUAACCCACCUGCAUGAAGCGCUGAAGCAGCUCACUGCAUCUGAUAUUUAGCUUUACUUCCUUAAGAUGUUGGACCACAAGAAGCAGGCACAGGUACAGGUAACUUGGUAGUGUAAUAAACUCUCCCCAUGUUUCAUCCACCAUUGGCUGUCAAGUUUAAAGAUGUUUGUAAUGAUUUGCCACUGGUGAAAUCCAAAGUAAGACUAGGAAUGUGUCUGUUUUGGCCAACUAGUAAUGACAGCUUGAAUGAUAUUGCACCAAAGUACUUUUGGACCACUAUUGGUUCACUGCCUGAAAAUAAAAUCUUUUUAUUUAUUUUGUCUCCUAUACCCACCAUUCAGAUUUCCUUCAGGAAACAUACCCUGGCCCCUGUCCACUAUCGGAUAGGUGAGAGCGAGGCGGUCUUUGCAGUGGUUAAGCACAAAUUUUGCAGAGAAGGGAUAAAGUGUUGUGGGCAAGGACCUGUGGGCUGAAAGUCAGAGUGACCAUGAUGCAGUGCCAUCACCCCACCUCACAGCUCAGAGUCUUGCAUAUCGCAUGGGCUGCCUGGAGCCUACACAGUUCACAGAGUGGAAAAAGGAAUUGAAGAAGCAAAAAUAAAUACUAAAGCAUGUAAGAAUUAAAUAUCACCUAUUUAAAUAGCAAUUACGCCGCUAAAAACAAGAUCACCACACCUGUACAAGAAAAGACAAGCAAGCCCAAAACAUCUGUUUGCAUCCACCUGCCAAGCACCUGUUCCGCUGUUUCAAUGCCAUUUGAUUGCUGGAGAUGUAGAGGCUCUUGUGAGGCUGGUCGUCACACAGGAAACUGUAUGCAGAGUCCAUCAGCCCAUGCUCUUCAUCACGAACUCAGUUGCUCUUUAAGACCAUCUCCCAGAGAUGAGGAAGAUGCGUUGAUCCAAACGAGACGCAGCCAAGCUUGGAGCAUCCUCUCUGCUCCAUCCCAAGGUAAGCCUGCAGCUGGCACGGCCUUGUGCCUUCAGCCAGGGCCAUUUUGAGGUGGGAACAGAAGAAGAGAGCAGCCAAGGGUUCUCCUGCCCCAGCAUGUGCCUGCUCCCCCCUAGCUUCCUCAGUAAUUAGUGUCAGUGAUGGUGUUAGAUGCUAUUAUGGGAAGAUUCUGCUGAGAACAGAGCUGAGCUCUCCAUGUGCACUUCCCAGGGGAGCUUUGGCACUUUGUCCUCCUCCCCCACUUCCACUGCAGCCACUACAGCAGCUUCCGGGACUCACGGCUGAUUUGAUGCUGUUCUUGAAACAAAGCUGCUGGAGGGUAUUUUAUACCUGAGAGGCCACAUCCUGAGCCUGGGACAGGCAAGGACCAAAGCAGUGGAAGAGGCUGGCAGCCCUGCCGAGGUAUUGUGGUGAACAACCUAAAAUUUUAGUGAAAGUGAGCAACGUGGAAAGUAGAAGUGGACAAAAACUUUCAGAUCUUCUCAAUGGCCAUGUCCUACCCAUCGUCCUUGAUGGGGCAAUAAAGUGAGGAAAGAGUAAGAGAGGAGAAAAAGAAUGAGACGAGUAAUGUGAAAGUGGGAAUGGAUGAAGUCAAGAGGCUGAAAAAUUAAUUAAGCAUGCUGCAAUAGGCAAUUCUUAACAGACACUGCAGUGCCCUGUGCUAAAGACUGUACAGUGAUGCUAGGGCACUGAUAUUUAGUACUGCAGGUAUAGAACCCUCAAGUUUUGGAUCUUGUGGUCAUCGGGGUUGGUGGAGUGGGCUUGGGUGUGCAUUGUAGAGUAGAACAAGAGAAGGUGAAAAAUCCAAGAGACCAAAACAGCACAGUGUGCUUCAGGUCCUCACUGGGUGGACAGGGAUAGCUUAAGCUCUGUGCCCUGCACUUCUCAGGAGAUGUCAGCCCAGGGUCCCUGCAGGACUAAAAGCCUUCAUGGCCACGCUUGGCUAAGCAAGCAGACAUUUAGGGGUUUAACUGAAGUGGAUCUGUAAUCUUUCAGUAUUUUAUAAUACAGUAUGUUACAGGAGACCAUAAAUUAGAGCUUAUAAUACCCGAUCCGCUCAGCUACUGACAGAAUAUCUAAGGUAAUCUGACCUGCUUCACAGACCGUGAGAAAAAUCCUCAUGGAAAGUGAAAGAGAUGAAUUACAGAAUUUUACAGAGAAGUGGGAGAAUUUCUCUCGGCUCAGAUCUUGGGUUAAUUCCCAUGUAAGGUGAAAGAAUGUUUCACCACAUUUUGCUCAACUGAAGUUGGCAAGCUUUAAUAGAUGCAGCCCUGCAGGCUGAGGGAUAAACUCUGCUCCCUUUCACUCACUUGAGCCACUGCCCAUGUGAUCAACAAUGUGGGUAGUAAUAAAGUGAAGGAAAUAAGGGAAGAGAUCUCUGAGAGAAAGCAAACGAUGGGAUGAAAUGCUGCAAAAUGUCUGAGGAGGUGUUUUUUUCUCAUUAGGAGGGGGGAUACAUCCCAGUGCUCUACCUCCACAAUAAGGAAUGCAUUUCCUAUCUGCUCGGAGCUGUUGUUCCUCCCUGUCACAAGCAGAGAAUAAAUACAGUCUCAUAAUUACAGCAUGCUGAAGGUGGAAGCUUUUCCUAUGGAUCAACCACUCUUUUUUUUUUUUUUUUUUUUUUGCCCUCCUGGUAAUAGUUGAUCUAUAGAACGUGUCUGUGAUCGUUUCAAAUGGAAGCUAGCAGUUACUUUCUGUUUUCUGCUUUAUGUUCGGGAAAUGUGUCUCCAGAGAUGCCUCCUUCUCUCACCUCUUCCCAUAACAGUGAGAGGUGCCAGCAGCUCCUCUGCCACUUUCCUAACUAUUUCCAUUCCCCUUCUACAUACUUAUGUUUCAUACUUGCUCUCUCAGUCAAUUCCUGCAAGAACUAAAAUGUGGGUCUUGGUCGUGUUACGUUGGAUGCUGAUCUCUGAGCCAGGUCAGGUGCCUGCAGGCAGGAAAAUAUUUGGUUUUCUGCCAUCAUUUCUUUGUAUCACACCUUUACUGCAAAGUGUCCAAAGGAAAUGAACUUUUCCAGAAAAACAGCCCGAAGAAAACCUUUGGAGUUUCUCAUUUAUGAGUAUGUUUGUGUGAUCCAGGCCUUCUGUGAGGUUUCUAGAUGAUGCAUUGGUAAGAUGAAUGGAGACCUUUGUGUUAUCUGUGAUGGGGCAGAAAGCACACAGCUUCUGGAGUCUUUUGAGGAACUCAGAUGGAAGACGUUACACAAAUCCAAAGCGUGCAUUUUUUUAAUACCUCCUGUGAUUUAUUAGAUAAAUGUGUCAUCUUUACCUUAUAACUUCUUCGGCCUUGGUUUCUUUUCAAGAAUUAACCAGGAGCUGAUGAAUUUAAGGGAAAUUUUCCAGUGCUGACCAGGAGAUCUGAGAUCUUGAUAUCUCUGUGUACUUUCUCAAGGUACCAGUAGUCCCAUUUCCUCAACCAGUAGUACACUCCUUCUUAUUCUCAGUCAUAAUUGUUUUGAAACUGCCAAGUGUUCUUUCCACCUCUUUAAUUUUGUUCUCAGAAGAAAUCCUUCACUUCUUUGUAUGCAGAGGCUGCUGUGGUCUGGAUCUCAUCUCGUCUUCUAGUAACAUCUUCCAGAUUUGUUUUAAACUGAUUAGACGCUGCUGAAGAAUCAGCUCUCUCCCCCGGACAGUACAAAGCAGAGUGCUGGCAGAGCUGGCUCUUGGCCAUCAUCUACAUGGUGACGCAGCAUCACAUCACUUGACAGCCCCAAUUUCAUUUGGGGAGCUCUGAAACGUUCACAUGCACUGAAAAAAAUUAUAAUAAUACACAAGGUGACAGGAGGGUGCAAUUAAAACAGAAGCGCCAGCUUGACCAGAGAGUGGCUUUAAUUGGAGGUCUUCUGUACGCUGGAGCACAGACUCUAAAAGCCAUCACCAUAAUAGUCAAGUAUAAACAUUCCAUCCUGUUUCAUAAAGAGCCUACGGUCCAUUUUAUUGCAACACAGUUACUUUCCCAGAUCCCACGAGUGACAAGGCGUGAUGCUUGAAAAAAUUCUCUGAAAUUUUCUCACCGUUUUUGCUUGAAGUAAGUUGCAUUCUGUUUACAAACUUGGGAAAAUGGGCCUCUUUUGCCUACUUUUGAGUGUCAUGGGAACACAUACCGAGAUCUGAUCCAGUAGCACUGCGUGAUGCUGGGAGCUUCUCAGGGUCCCGUAGUUUGCCCCCGAGGGUGUUUCAGGAUGCGGUGUAAAGUUGCAUGCUGUUUGCCAUGUCCAGGGUCCCAGACACAUGGGGAAUCAGACUGGCUCCAAUAUUGAAAGCUGAUCAUUUUUCAGACAAACAUAGAUAUGACUUUUGUUAUUUAUUCACGCUGAAAUGUUAAUAUGUCCUCAUUACUCUAAAUUAUUUCAUUUUCAACUUACAGUAUGUUCAUGGAUUAUUUGAAGGAAUUACUGGCUUUAGCUUAUGUUAUCUGUGACUCACUUUUAAUAGACUUGACUGGCCAGGUAAUUUCCACAGUAUUGUUUUUGGCUCCUUAACUGGAUCCCAUCCAAGUUUACAAAGCGCUUCCACAGAGAUAAUGGAGAACAUUCCAGCCUCCUGUGAAAUGUCAGCUCUGUGUCCAGUGUUAGACGUGCAGCAUUAACCUGGUUAAAGCUGCUGGAUUCUGUAAUUUCUUUCUUGGAAGUACCAAACAUCCUAAAGACACCAAGUCAAAUCUGCCAAAAGCAGGAGAGAAAAAGAAAAUGGGAGACUCAGAGUGAGAGUGAAAAGUAAAUGCAAUGCUAUUACUUUACACCAAAGAACUGUAAGUUAAUUGAUGUCCAUAAUAAACUUUCAGUAGAAAAGUAUUAAAUAUUUUUGAAGACGUCUGUAAAUCCAGUAUUGGAAAAAAAAAAGUUACUGUUAUCUGGGUUUAAUCAGCUGAGAAAAGCAUGAUGAUAAAUAAGAUUUAGUGGAAGCAUAAAUUGAAAAUGGCGAAUAAUACUUUUAAAAGGGAGCCUACUGGAAUACGUAUGUCUCUAUGUCUCUGAGGUAUUUGAUUUGGAAUAUAUAAUCAUCUCCUUUGAGGAUAUUUAUGAAAGUUAUUUCUGAAUGUUCAGAGAUUUCUCUGCUUUUCAUUAUCUAUUUUUCUUAACAAGGGCCAGAACUGUAUGCCUGAUUUUCUGUGAUAUAUUCACUUGGGAGGUUUUCUCGUACUGGCCAAGGACACAUCGUUUACAAGAAGGUCCUGUCAAGCAUCCAAAUGUCUCUGCUGAAGCUUCCAUUUUAGAUGACCCCACAGAAUGUGAGAAAACCUUCUUUUAGGGGAAUGGCAUCUUCUGGCCAGAGCUGUGUCCUGAAAGGCUGCCGUGCUUAACGCACAGUUGAAAUGCCCAAUGCAAAUUAAUGGUAGAGGUAGGGAUGAUGUACCUGUGUUUUCUCAAGAAAGAAAACUCAAACCCUUGGGAUGAUAUUUUCUGCAUGCAUGAUUACCUUCAUUGCAAUUUGGAUUUCUGAGAAGGUCAGUUGGACUUUUGGGCCCUGUGUUCUGGAGAAAUCUGAAGAAUUUGGGUCAUCUUCCUCUCUUGACUUAAAAAUAACUUCUGUUAAUGCAAUUUGGAAAGCAUAUUUCUUUGAAUAUGAUCUUCCAUUUGCAGAGGGGGCAAAGUUUACAAUUUUGGGUGGAAACCAUGUGAAAGCUAGCAGUUCCAUCAGGGGUUUGUUUGGAAAUUUUUGGAUUUGUUCAAACUCAAAAGUCAAAGUGAAACUCGGGGGAUGUGAACCCGCUUGAAUCAAAACCAAAACAGUGAUGCGCCAGAUCUCCCAUGAACCAAAACCACCGGGUUCUCACAGUUCUCAUCCAAACAAAAAUGCACUAACAUAAAUCAAAUACCGAACCAAAUAUCCUCUUUUGCUCCAUCUGGCUUUCAUGGAAAUAACUCAGAAUAUUUAAAAGGUCUGCUCAGUUUUGCAGCAGCAACCACCAAAAUAUCCUGAGAUCAUUUGAUAUCUGGCAGUUAAUAUCCUGAUCUAUUCUCUUUAGUCAGUAUUCCAAUCCUUUUCUACCAACACUGCCUUGGAGUGCACAGCGUAACUAUCCCUUAACAUCUUCCUCGAUUGUACGGUUUCACAGGGAAGACUCUGUGAACAAUUCACUGUCCUUCUCCUUCUCAUUCUUGCUCAGAGAGCCAAGAAAGGAGUUGGAGCUGCAAGCAGAAAAAACCAAGCAGUACGAUCAGUACGGAAGCAGAACACUUAGCUGCUAUAGGACAAGCUGGGGCACUGAGAAAAUAUUUAAUGAUAAUUUUCCUUGUGAUUUCCCUUGUUUGAGACCAUACUAUGACCCUGAAAUGAGAGAAUUAAAAAAAAAAAAGAUGUUUUGCAGCAUAUCAUGUAGCAAAACGUCUCUAAAGCCAUUAAAAAAAGUGCUGGGCAUGGAAGAACAGAAAAGGUUUCCUCUGUAACUAAGACACGCUUGUUUGUAAUAACAUGUGCUUUCAAACACUGCCAAGUUGCUGAGGAUAUCUCUGUUAUAUACAAUCCUGAAAAAUGUAAGUGUUAAAAAAAACAAGGUAAUGUAAAAAAAGAAAAAAAAUCUAAAAAAAAGAAGAGUUUGAUCAGAUGGUUAAAAUCCAGUCAAACCUAAGACAACCUGUUUAUGACCUUUCCAUGCUAAAAGCUAGAAAUGUCUUUCUUUCUUUCUUUUUUUUUUUUUUUUCCACAAGAUUAAUUACCAUCACUUUGGGAGUAGUGAGCUGGACAUUAUUAUAUGAUGUCAAUUAAUGAUUAAAAAAAAGGUGGUUUGCAAAUGUAGCACCACAGUCCCUGGUGCAUUACAUCAUUUCUGAAAGAUCUUAACACGUGAUAAGCAGAGAACAUUUUAACCUAAAAGUCUGAGUGUUACAACCUCCUUUUCUGUUGUAACACCCUACCCACAACCUUUUGGCCUUGAAGUCACUCGCAAUAAAAUUAAGAAGUCAAAAAGAAAAGGGGGGAAAAAAACCUCUGGGAAAGACAAGACACACUUCUGUUUUGCUGUCGAGCAGAUAAUGCAACAAAAUGAGUGGCUAUACGCAUUGGGAAACGUGGUUGCUGAUCUUUGUGCAGUGUUCUCAGCAAGAUUCGUCAUCAAAAUCUCAUGCUUAGAGUCGUAAGGUUGCUGUGAUUCAGGUAUUAUAAACUACAUAAUGCAGUUAUCUCUGUGAGAGUGCCUCGAAAAUUUCAUGCGCUGACUGAAAUGACUCCUGCACUUGUCUAUGCGCUGCUUUCCCAGAUGGGCUGACAGUGAUCAUUUUAUGUGCCUUAUUGAAUUCGCUGAAAUAUUUAGAAGGGUUUCUACCUAUAUUUUACAUCUCCUUCUGUUAUUACCUUUUUUGCAGCAACAGUUUGACUUCUUCGUCAAUAAUACACAUAACCUGAUCCAUUCUUCUCUGAGCUCUUCUCCUCUUUUAGCGUCAAAAUGCUGUGGAUGUUCCUUUGUAAACGAUAUGCAUUUAAAAUACCUUUGUAAUAAUAAAUACCACACGAACAUAUGUAUCAAGGAAAGGAUUUCAAUUUUGAUGACACUUGCUUCUCAAGAACAGACAUUCUGGAAGGAAAAAACAUUGCCAGCCCCAAAUUGAUUGACAUUUGUUUACUUAACUCUCUCUUCUUGAAAGUCUGCACACCUAUUUCAACCUUGAACAGUUUCCAACUGUGGUAUACUGGAACAUUUUUUCAUUUAUUAAGUUCAGUGUUGCCAACCCAAACAAAGAGUAAUCAGUGAUGAUCCAAGCAGACCAAGCUGUCUAGCACCAUACAAUGUAUCUGCAUGCUAAUUUUCAAAUUCCCUCACAUUUCCAGAGAACUAAUGGGAUCAUUUUCAUUCUGUUACAGCAACUCAACAGUUACUGAAUCACCAUCUGUGUUUUCGUUAACCUGAAUCAGAUAUGAAUUCUGUUAUUGCAAGGUAGAGCAGCUUGUUUAAUGAUUCUUAAUCUUUUCUUUAAUUAAAUCAUGCAGCCAACCUGAAAAAUCUAUCUUAAUGCAAAUUAGGAGCUUUUUUGGCAUUCACUUACAGUAAUGCACUAAUAAGGUUAAUUUAUGAAGGUUCUCUUCCAGUCUGUACAGAUGAUAUUUGUUCGCUGCAUAUUUUUAGCAUAUUGUCCCCUUUUCUAAUAUUUAAAAAAAUAUCGCUAAUAAAAAAGGGGUUGUUUUCACUCAUACAAAAGAGGAAGGCUGCGAGCUGCUUUUUGUUUAUUUGAAAGAACACAGAAAAGGAAGAUGGGUUUCUCCCCUCCGUGAGCAUCUCUCCACGCGGGUGCAGAGGCACAAAUCGAGGACUGCUGGGUUAAAUGGUUUUGGAUGAGCACUCUCCACUUCUCGCUGGAGAAAUUCAGGCCCUGGUUCAGAUGAGCAUCUUGAAGUUAUCAGUGGAGACAGAGAGUUUCUCUGAACCCUUUGUUUUAUUUUUUUUCCUUGUAGGUGUGAAUUAAUUGUAUAAAGAGUAAAUAAUUCUUGUGAAAUAAGCCCGAAUACUUUCCUCAGUUGCACAAUUGCUUCAGCUCGGGGCUCUGAUGAUCUCAGUCAAGAAAAUUUCUGUCUUUGAACGCAUUCCUCCCAACUACAGAAUUAGUUGAAAUCUGUUCAAGUUGCUGAGUAAAGAGUAAACUUUGUUGUUUUCUUUUUAAGGUUAUUUUUCAACACCCACAAGCAAAUGGGGACAGCGACUGCAAAUUUCAACACGCGGCCGUUGCUAUUUAAUUAAAAUCACUGAGGCUGGCUGAAGACUUUUCAGCAGAGUGAUUUCACAUCAGAGAACACCGGUUCUCAAAAUCUGAACAUUCUUUUCAUAGAAAUCCAUCCCUCCAUUUCAACCAGGAAUGAGAUUUCAGUUCUAGGAAAGGACUUCUCAUCCCAGCUAGGAACGGCAAACCAUCACUCCCCUUUUGCGGCGGGGCUGCCCAACCGUGGCAGCCAGAGCAUCUCUUUCCACCCCUCUCUGUAUUUCCAGCUGUAAUCGUUCCAUGUCUGUCUGCAUUAACUAUUUGCACAGCUCAGGACAGGAGCUCUUGUCCGAGGAGUGGGGAAUCACCAAGGCUGUGAUUCUCUCUGUUUCAUUAAAGGUAACGCCUGCAGGGUGGUUGAACCUUCCUCUCGUUCCUUGCGACCGGGGAAUGGAAACAAUAUCUCACACUAUUUGUGCAGUGAUUCCUGGCUUGUUAAUAUUCUGGUGUGGCUGUUUUUCUCUGCUGUGAGGAACUUUGCCCACUUAGCAUGGGGUUUUGCCUCUGUCUAAGUGGGAAUGCUGCUUUUCCUUUUCCCUUCUUCCAUUUGGAAAGCUGUUUUCCUGCCAUUGCUAGUCCUUUCUGUGUAAUAUUACCGCAGAGAGAAUGAAAAGUAACUGCUUUCCUUCCCAUCCAAUCGUACCUACGUAGUCUUAAGUAUAUUAUAUGCUUCGCUUCCUGCUUCACCCACUAGUAAAAUAUGUUGAUAGAUGAAUAUGGGGGUAAGAUUGCUUUAAUUAGAACCUAUUGCCCUGCACACUAUCUUCUCUAAAGACUACCUGUAUUAACAUCUGGGGAAAAUAAGUCUUAAAGAAAAUUUCCUAGGACAGAUUUUUGGACUUCACCCCCCACCUUCUGCUUCCCAACCCUUUCAAUUUCUCAAGUAUAUUUAAAAAUGCAUGACUCACCCUGUUGCUUCCUUAUAUUUUAUGGUGAGGUGGUGAGGGGGAGUCUCUUCAUUUUCAUUCCUGGGAUUACCUUUAAUGAAGUGGAAAACAUCUACGGGAUGGGAUAAUACCUGAUGCUUACAGUUUUCUUUACAUCACAUUACAGUAUUUUCUCAGGUAUUAAAGUAGCACUGGACUCAACUAAGAGGAGUGAUCAAACUGUCUACUAAUGAAGUUACUCUGACAGGAACUCCAGGAACCGGAAACUGAACUUCAGAAUCAUGAAGAGCACUGCUAGAUGAAGACAUGGGCUGGAUACAUGUCUACCACACUAGAAGAAACUGAAAGAAUACGAUCCCAUUUGACUCCAAAAGUCUUUCUAGGCUAAUUACCAGCUCACAGAGCAGAGAAAUUAAGGCAGAGAGGGAAUGUUCAUGAUGACAACCUUUACCCAUUAGCAAGCUUUGCAUUUUCCCAAGGCUGAAGACAGUUUAGCCCUGACAAAUCCAAUCAGUGAUAUGCAGGCGUAACCUCCAGAAAUAAGCUCACAUUUUUGGGAUCCACGGGGCAAAAGAUGGACUGCAGUAAGUCACUAUGAAAAUAUUUAAAAUACAGCUUGGCCAGUGCUGAAAUGGCACAGUUGGCCUGAAGUCGCUUCAAGGUCUCCUGGCAUCUGCGUGUUUCCCCAGUGGCUUUGUGCAGUAAAGUGUUAACUUCUCCUGAGUGGUUACGUGUUUAAGGCAGUAACUUUAAAAUAAAGAACUGCAACCUUAGAGCAAAGCUGCUAUUUUGAGAAUUUUAAACCAUUAUUGACUCCUGUCAGAUCAGUUUCUAGACUUAUUGACUCAAGAAGUAAAUAUAGACUGAGAGAAAGCGAGGUCAAGUCAAUAUUUAUCUUGCAGAUCAAUACAUUUUGAUACUAACCAAAAAUUAAGCUCAAUAAAUGCAUAUAUUAUACACAGCAAGGUUAGAAGAGAUCCAUUCAGAAAAUUUGUCAAUUUGAAAUUUCCCAACGGAAUCCAACCUUUUGGAUUCAAUUUCCAUUAGAAAUUCUGUCCCUUUAAGGUUGCUUCAGUGACUGAUCACGAGCCCCCAUCACCCAAUCAGGUUUCCAGAUGAACGUUGAGUAGCAGCGAAAGGAAAAGGGAAGAAUGAUGAAGUGAGAAGAAGUUGGUCACAGGAGCUCGAUUACGGUGUUAGGAGGAGGUAGGAGAACGGAAGAGCUGGCAAGCUGAGACACUACCAGUACUUUGUGGAAACCGACAUAUGAAUUUGUUCUACAAAUGUGCCAGGGACACACUGAUCCAACAGUUAGAUCACUUCCAGAAGACACGGAGUUAGAUCUCUGAGUUCACUUCCAAUUGCUGACUACUACUAUCCAAUAAAAGAAAAAUUCUGCGUAAAGUAAACAAGGAAAAUGGAGGAGAUUCUGCUGGAAGGACAGAAGGGACAGCAAGCAUGGAGAUUUAAGUCAGAGGAAGACCGACUGUCACUGCAGAGGGGAAAGGGCAUGAGAAUGAGCACUGCAAGAAAAAAAAAUCAUCAAAAAAUUCCUCCUUCUCUGGGAUGAAUACAGGGGAGUAAAUGUGUUCCUACAAAAAUUGAAUUAUGUAGUGAUUUUAAAUAUGGUGUGAGAAUGAAGGACAUAUGAGCUGCAACGAGAGAACCAAAGAGGAAUUAUGUGAUGUGUUCAGGCUGGGAGUGUGCCUCACAUGACAACAGGAAGAGAGGAAAGGUGGAGGAAAAAAAGAUCAGAAUCUACUCUAUUCUGAGCCAUUAAUGUCAGCCAUGUUGAUGUUUUGUAGCUAGUUAUAUUUGCUGAUGGUUCCCACGCACUCAUGACAUUCAACUUUGCAUCAUCCCCUAAAAACUGGAAAGAUGUCUCUCUGAGAAUGACCUAUAGCUUUGAUAUCACCAUAACUAAUUUCCUUUUCCUAAAGUAAUGGUGCCUACUCUUGAGGAGCAGAAUGCUGUGAGCUUUUAUUUCCAGUCUGAGGAUAGUUCUGUGAUAGGUGGAAUAAUGCCAGAACCUACUUUUCAUUAGAUUGUAUGAUCUGACUUUAUCUUGCACGCUCUGUGUGGUUUGAGUGAAUAAAUCACACCAGAAUUUAUGGGGUUUUCAUCCUUACAAAUGAAUCUUCAUCAUUACUAUGUGGAUAUAAGUAUUCUUGGGCUGCAGAAGACAGUGAGACCCACCAGGGCAACACAAACUGAUUCCAACUUGCCACCUACUACUCCCUUAACCCAAAACUCCAAGGACCUGGGCCACUGAAACACUGGGAUCCCAUAGGGACCUGCCUGGCCAUUCCAUUUGGGGUUUGCAGGACAGGAUCCUGGUCUUUUGUGAAAACUGUUGACUAAAAAUUUGAUUUUCUCUUUCUCUUUUUUUCUUUUACCUUAAGAAGGGCAGAAGAGGAAUGGCCAGAAGCCACCUCCUUCUUUUUUGGACCAGCCUGCUUUUCUAAGGGCAACAAAAACCAACAGAAGUGGUAGAGAAGAUGAAUGCAUCUUCCCUCCCUUCACAUAAAUUUGUGGGUUUUUUUUUCCUGUUGUUGUUGUUUUAUCCUUUUUUGUUUUAUUAUUUUUCCUAUUUAUUUUGCAAUUGGAAAAGUCCUGGGAUUUCAUUAACAACUUCCCAGGAUGACAGUGAGACCCUCACGACCCAGCAGCGAGUCCCAGUUCCCACCUGGGUGCCUCUGGAGAGUGACAAAUCUCUUGGAUGUGCUCUAACAUCCCAGAAGCACAGGCCAGGAACAUCUGUCUGUUCCUUCCCUUCCUUCAGACUGCCCCGAGGAGGAGGGAGGCAGGCAAGUAAUGAUACGAAAGGCAAAGGCUCAACUGGCCGUGUUACAUUAGCCAACUCAAAUAAUUCCUCUUGGCUGUGGAAACAGCCUUCCCAUCCAAAGCGGUCUUUUUUUUUUUUUUUUUUCCCUUUUUCCCCCCCAAAAAACAAGAACAGCUUAUUUCCAAUUUUGGGCAGGUUCCUUGGCCAUGGGCCAGCUCUCCCCAUUGCCUCUCCGUGCUACUUCCCAAUGACCCUCAAGUGACCUUACUGAAUGCCACGGGGACCAAACCUUACCGAACAGCAAAAUCAAAGUAUGUAAAUGAAGCUUGGAUUAUUACAUAUAUAAUGAUGAAAAUGUUUUUCCUAUGCUAUUGCCUGUGCCCAGCUUCCUUCCCUACCACUCUGAGUGCUUCAGAGCUGUGUAUAGCUGUUGAGCUGAAGCACCCAAGAAUGGCUCUGAAGCAGGAAGAGAGAUCAAUCUGCAGGCUGGUUUUCCAGGCACUUUCUUUCUCAUUCUCCACAAGAUAGUUGAUAUUCCUCCGGAUUUUGCUGUUAUUAUUUGGGUGUCUCUACUUCACAGAAAAGGGCAGAUGAAUGCCUUUUGCAGCCUCUUCAGUCCACUCUAGUUCUAUUUUAGGCUGAGAAGACUGUGCUGCUUGGGUAGAUGGGUGCAUUUCAUGCCAACAGCUUAGUCUUUCUGCAAAGUUAGGCAUCUCAGUUUGAAAAAAUAAGUACUAGGUAAAGCUGUUUGAAUCAGUGCAGGAAGCUGAGUUGCUAUCAGAUGUAUAUGGCAUAAAGUACGUAUCCUGAUAGGUACUCUUCUUCAAAGGAAAAGUGGUGAUGUUUACUUGUGCAUUUUAAUGAUGAGAGGAUGCGUACUGUGACACGAAAUCCUAUCCACUGUACCAGUUCAACAGCAUUUAAACACUGAAGUCUGAGCUACGCAUAACCAAUGGGAAGGAUGUGGAAGAACGCUUGCCUGAAGACACCUACUCUUUAUUUUUAUUACAAAGUCAAUUACCAUUUCAAAGCAGCCAUGUGACAUGUAUACUGUCAGGAGCCAGAUGUUGGCAUUGUGAUAUUGUGACAUUAAUUUAAAAGAAGAGUCUUUUUUUUUUUUUUUAAAUGCUGACUUCCCAAGGAUUAAGUUGGAUAUUCUCAAUGUAGUUGAAAAAAGAAUUUACAUUCCCCAAAGACAAACAUUCUUGUUUUCUGUUUGGUUUUAUAACUCAGUCAUUUCUCUAUUGAAGAAGCACAAAACAGAAAGAACUUUUGGUUUCAGGUAGUUUCACUUCAGCUGAUCUUUCUAAAAGCAUGCACCUUUUUAGCUGUUUCAGUUAUGAAUCAUAGAAUGGCCUGGGUUGAAAAGGACCACAAUGCUCAGCCAGUUCCAACCCCCCUGCUAUGGGCAGUUGCCAACCACCAUAUCUUCUUUAUAAAGGGAAGUUUAUUAAGUAAAAUUUGGGUUACUGAGGUUUUAGCACAUGUUGCAUUGAAUCCCUUUUUUUCCCCCCUAAAUCACGUGGUUAAACUUAGUUUGGGUCUCUUACAACCAGAAUCCCUGCUGACUCCGCUCUGGUCCAGGCAGAUUGAACUGAGUCGCAACACUGCUGGUACGCGUCCUCAUCCCCAGUGCCAAGAAAAACCCUUUCCCUCUGUGUUUUCUUGUUAGCAAUACUGCUAUGGAGGCCAAGGACUGACAAUCUUUCUCUUAAUUCUCAAAUCCUCUCCUCCAACAGGGAAGAAGGAAAAAGAUUGAAAAACCUUUUGCUAUUGUUUGGUUGUUUGAUCAUAAAGGGGAACUAGACUGCCAAGCCAGCACCCCAGCAGCCCUAAAUCUAUGUGUAAAAUAUGGGCAAAAGGAGAGAAAAGAUUUAUUGUUAUUAUUAUCAUUACAGACUACCUUUAUAAUAUAUGUGUUUCACUUAAAUUAAUAUUUUAUAACUCUAUAUCAGCCUCUGCAGCCACCCAACAGCAUUUCUUAUUUAUCCAGUCGGACAUACUAAUUUGCUUUUAUCAAAAUACUUGAGAAAUAAUUGUCUUACCUCUCCUAGGACAUGCUACAGGGUUUAUUCUCUCCUUGCUAUCUACAUAGUUAUAAAUCCUCAUGCAUUGAGAGCAGAAUAGGCUUUAUGUGUCUAGCAAUUUCUUAUGAUUUCUAGGCUAUUAUCCCCAAAUCCUAAUUAACCAUUUUUAAAAAUAAUGUGGCCUUUCUACCACGUGAGAUAUACCAACAUGAUAAGAUACGAUGUGAAAGUCCCAAGUAUAAUGUAAUUCUGCUGCUUUACUUUUCCUCUUUUAUUAGAGAUUUCUAACAUAAUACUGCAUUUUCAUCCAAAGUGACAGGAUUCAGUACAUAGUUUGUAGUAUAUGUUUUGCAAACUGCCAGAACAGAGCCAUUGAAUUUAGUUUUCUAAUAAUCAUACAGCCAUACAACACGCCCGUACAUGUCAGAAACUGAAGAAAGCAAAUUUAUACACAACAAUGUGUAUUUUGUAGAUAGCGAUAACCCACCCAAAUCUAAUUUAAUCAAAUAUUUAAAGAGGUAAUAAUUAAUUUUUAAAGAAUUGAAGUGAACCGUAACUAGGAGGAAAUGUUAUUGUUUAUUUUUAAUGCCAGAACUGUAUUCCUGAUGCAUUUUUAAUAUUUCAUUAAGGUGGUAACUUUCAUGGCGUAUUUUUUCAAGUUUCAUAUCUCCCUGAUUUAUUUCUUUUCUUCUGAAGAAAGGUAAAAUGCUAUAGGGAAACUUAAAGCUUAGAAUGAUGCAUUCUUUGAGGAGCUCUUCCUAAAACUUCCUGGAGUCUUUUUAAGCAGAAUUCUUCUUAAGCCUUUCUGGACAAGCAUUCUAAAACCAGAAGUCUUUUAAACAAGCUGAGGUACAGCAUCUGCUUCUGAGCUGAGCAAAGGGUUCUUCUUUCAGCCAAUGAAUGUGUUCAUUGGGUACUACUUUCUAUUCUGUCUCCGAGCUAUUACUCAUCACUCAUCAUUCUUACUUUCCAGAAGAGAUAUCUGCAAGAAUGGUUUUAAAGCCCAUUGCAUUUCAAACCUGUGUUCUGCCCUUCCUCAGUCCUUUGUUUUUUGUUUUAUCCCUUCUUUUCGAUGGAGCGUCUCUCACGUUUUUGAGCCUUUCAUACUCAAACUGUGGAAGCCUGUUUAUUUCACUCUGGCUCCAGCCCUAGUUAAAGGUGUGAACUACCAAAGUGGAAGGGGGCACAUGCACAUUAACACUGCUGUGGAAAACGUCGCCUGACAGAUGGAUGCAUGUUAAAUGGGUGUUUGAAGAAAGGUGUUUGCAAUAAAAAUCCUGAGUAUGGCAUCAGAGGAAGACCACACACAAUUUUCUACUUUUAUUUCUGUAAUAUAUAGGGGCCAGGCUACUUCUGGUCUGCUUUAUACUGUCACUUAAUCAUAUUUGCUAUUUUAUACUAAUAAUUUGUAUAUUAAUAUUUGUGUGUGUAUUUCAAAGUCUGGCUGUUUUCAAGGGUCUGCUCUGCAGCACAAGGGUCUGAGUCAACAUAGUAUAAAUCAUUGGUUUAUUCAAUAAACAAAAUAGUGAAAGGAUAAAUUGAAUUUCUCCAGUUUCAGUCACCAGUUCUUGAUCUCUGGGGGAUACUCACCUAAUAUGUUAGUUAUGGAGCUAUGAAUAUGAUGUGCAGAUACAUCCUUGCUUGGGUUUAUCUACCUUGACCUUAUCUACCCUAAGAACUGAAGUGUUUAAAUUCUGGUUGAGAAUUGAAGCAGGUGAUUAGAACUAGAUGAUCUUUGAGGGCCCUUUCAACCCAAGCCAUUCUAUGACUCUUUGAAAGAGGAACUGUAGAUAAGUUCACUCAAUUUCUGUUCCUAAGUCCUUAGCUGUUCUCUGGAUGGAUAACAGGAUUUUUUAGGCACAGCAUUGCAUUCUCUACCAUCUUUGCUCUUUUCCCAAAAUAUUUCUGACUCAGUCAUCUCCUGCCUACACAGCGAACUUUUGCGCCCCCUGACUUAGGCUGAAUUGGUUUCUCUUUAUGUACAAACAGGACUGCUUUUUCUUUCCUGAUUUCAUAAUUGCUAUUUCUAUUGGUUUGCUUCUUUUAGUUUUCAAUUCUACUUCAACUUGACUAUGAAGAUUAUCAAGAAAUAAAGCAUGAUUCACAUCUACACAUAGUUUACGACCUUUAGAUUCAAGUCCCUUUAUAUAAACUUGCAAAUACGAAAGGAUACGUCAUAAGACCUUGUAGGCACCCAAACUGUCAGUGAAUUCAGCCUGAAACUGUUUUUUUCAGCUUUAUUGAGACCUCUUUAUAAGCUGUGCUUGUGUUAUGACAAUAGAUUGUUUACAGAUUCUUAAAAUGUCCUGAGUUGAUGGAAAAAAAAGGGCAAUUUUUUUCCUUACAAAUACCACUUGACUUUGAGGAGUGUUUGAAGCUACACAACCAGAAUAGGAACAUUCACACCCGCUGUACGAGUGGCUCAAAAACCCUGUCAUUUCUCUCAGGCCCAGCUCCAGCAAGCACUUACACACAUGCUUAACUUUAUGCACACGAGUAAUCCCAUUGAUUUAAUGGGAUUAUUCCCCUAUGCACAGUUACGCAAACAUAAGUGUUUGCAGGACUGGGGUCUAUUUCUCUUGCAAUGAUUUGAAACCUGUGGAAGAAAACGCUAUAUGCAAGUUAGAUAUUAUUUAAUGGCCACAUAUUAAGCCUGAAUAUUUCUGCUGAAAUUGGUGAGGCUGUGUGAGUUUCUUUCUGGCUGAGAAACUGUCCUCUUCUGUGCACAGUGCACACUCCUAGCUUGCUAUGGUGCACCGUGGCUAUCACAGCAUACAAAGGCAUAUGGGAACUGUUGAGUCACAGCCUGAACCACUGACUGAGCACCUGGGGAAAGGACCUGGUCAGCCCUGGGAGCACAGGUGAAGGCAAUUCACCUGUAUGACUGGAAGGGGUGCAGCCUGGCUCCACCUCUCUUAGAUCUCAUUUAAGGGCUGACUGCCACUGGGGAAGGAUCUCCUUCUGGAGAUCCCUCCUUGAUGGAGCUUUCCUUUGUGAACCUGGAAUCAUCUGAUACAGGUCUCAGACAACGAAGAUUCAGCUCCACAGCACCCUGAGAUCAGCCACUAAUUUCAGAAAACUAGCACACAUGCGAUGAAAUCACCACAUUCUGGAGUGACAACAUAUUCUGCAGAAACAGGGCUGGGAUGCUGGUGGUGCCUUGGUUUGACCUGAUUUUACUUUAUGCAAAUGUAAAAUGUCCAUGGGAGAGACUGACAGUGGAUUUCAUAGCACUGCAAUUUGAUUUUAGUAUUAAACAACCAAAGGAAAAAACCACCAACAAAAAUCACAGAAACACAUGCCAUUGAAUUAAAGCAUUACCUUUACCUUUGGAUUGUGUCCUUUUACCCAUUGUGAGGAGCGUAACCACCUGGAUAUAUGAAACAACACCAUUCCAAACAGUAUUAAAAUCUAAAGAAAGCUCUGUAACUAGCUUAAAAUGUCAAGUGGUAGGAGAAAAAUCACCUGCAAUACAAAACUCUUGCUAUUAUAAUGAUACAGUGUGUAAUUCAAUAUAUCUGUUUAGAUAUUGACCUUCUGUAUUAUUAAUGGCUUUAAAAAGGGUACUGCUGUCUUGUAAGUCCUUAACAGGUGGAUGCCACUGGAAAUCUAACAUUUAUUGGUUUCUAUGUGCCAGAUUACUUUCAAACUACAACUCAUUGCAAAUAUAUUUGCAGCCUGAAUGUAAUAGGCAGAACAUGACCUGAUUUGUACUUUUUUUUCCCUAAAGCUUCUUCCUAUCUUCUCACCUUCUCCACCCCAGUCCCUAUUCAUCAAAUAAAGAGCAAGAGAGCAAGGGAGAAAGAGAGGAAGGGAAAAGAGAGGAAGGGAGGAAGGGAGAAAGAGAGGAAGGGAGAAAGAGAGGGAGGG